rnacentral:rRNA from 1 species
ACGAACGCUGCGGCAGGCCUAACACAUGCAAGUCGAGCGCACCUUCGGGUGAGCGGCGGACGGGUUAGUAACGCGUGGGAACGUACCCUUUUCUACGGAAUAGCCUUUGGAAACGAAGAGUAAUACCGUAUACGCCCUUUGGGGGAAAGAUUUAUCGGAGAAGGAUCGGCCCGCGUUAGAUUAGAUAGUUGGUGGGGUAACGGCUUACCAAGUCUACGAUCUAUAGCUGGUUUUAGAGGAUGAUCAGCAACACUGGGACUGAGACACGGCCCAGACUCCUACGGGAGGCAGCAGUGGGGAAUCUUAGACAAUGGGCGCAAGCCUGAUCUAGCCAUGCCGCGUGAGUGAUGAAGGCCUUAGGGUCGUAAAGCUCUUUCGCCUGUGAUGAUAAUGACAGUAGCAGGUAAAGAAACCCCGGCUAACUCCGUGCCAGCAGCCGCGGUAAUACGGAGGGGGUUAGCGUUGUUCGGAAUUACUGGGCGUAAAGCGCACGUAGGCGGAUUGGAAAGUUGGGGGUGAAAUCCCGGGGCUCAACCCCGGAACUGCCUCCAAAACUAUCAGUCUAGAGUUCGAGAGAGGUGAGUGGAAUUCCAAGUGUAGAGGUGAAAUUCGUAGAUAUUUGGAGGAACACCAGUGGCGAAGGCGGCUCACUGGCUCGAUACUGA